UACGUAGGGGGCAAGCGUUAUCCGGAAUUACUGGGUGUAAAGGGAGCGUAGACGGUGAUGUAAGUCUGGAGUGAAAGGCGGGGGCCCAACCCCCGGACUGCUCUGGAAACUGGAGGACUGGAGAGCAGGAGAGGGCGGUGGAACUCCAUGUGUAGCGGUAAAAUGCGUAGAUAUAUGGAAGAACACCAGUGGCGAAGGCGGCCGCCUGGCCUGUUGCUGACGCUGAGGCACGAAAGCGUGGGUAUCGAACAGG
rnacentral:rRNA from 1 species